AUUAUUGUCAUACUGUUUUUUUUUCUCGCAUCCCCCUGCUAUUCAGUCCAUCAGGAGUCAAUUACGUGACCGCAUUGGAGAGAGAGAAGAAGACGGAGAUAAUCGAGACCGCGCUAUUCUUAUAUUUGCGUUACACAGAUUGCGUUACGCAACGAAUCCUAACUUCUCAAUUGAAGCGUCUAAGGACGAGUUGACUAACAUCGCCUGAACAUUUAGAGCCUUACUUCUACAAUGAGAUUGUAUUCCUGAUCUGUAUAGAUCGUGGUACAACCUAUUUGCGUCCGAGAAUUAGGUAUCUUGAUUAAUUUGAUAUAAGAUUAAAUUCUAUUAUUUUCUUUACAUUUUUACAAAUUUAUUGCGUUUAUUAAUAAAAAAAAAUAUAUAUAUAGAAAUUUUACAUAGUAACUGUUACUAAACAAUCCGUUCCACUAGAUUUGACAUAUUUUUUCGCGAGUGUAAUACAAAAGGAUUCUUAUCCGUAAACUUAUGUCCGCUAUCGAGUUCUCUGAUAAAACUAAAUAUUCAUUAUUUAUUUCAGAACUUGUCGUUUUAUAUUGUGGGGGGUAUAGCAAACAUAUCACUUCCUUCUUUCAAGGUUCGUAUUUUAGGUUAUGUGGCAUGAUAUUAAACUGUGUUCUACACAUACCACAGGAAAUGCAUUUUCUGUAAUGAAAUCUUUCAACAAUAGAGUAAGAUACAUAUAUUUGCACUUUCUGUUUAUUCAUUUGUGUAGUUUACGACUAUGAGUGAAGAUAAAACAUGAAAAACAUUUCAAGUUGAUACUAGAUUGAAAACAAUACCGUUGGAACAAUUUUACAUGAUAUAGAAUUAUAAUUUUAAAUUUUGCUUUGUUUUGUGUGAUUUAGCUUGUGUUUAAUAUUCCCAUAAAUUCUUCGAAUUUAUAUAUAUAACAUAUGUUUUUAUUUUAUAGGAAUGGAUCUUAUGAGCUAUGGAAUAAAUUGUCACAUUUGAAUGAAUUUGGCUCACUCUACGAUAUUACAGAUUGCAAAUAGUAAGAUACCAGAUGAGUUUGAUAAUAUUAAUCAUGUUAGAUGCAAUGUAUUAAUAACAUACAAUUAUCAAGUAUUCAGCAUCCAACUUAUACCUCUUUUUUAUACUAUAAUUUUUUGCUUUGAUAAAAGCCAUCAAACUAUAGAAAAUUUACAAUGAAAGAAGAAUCUACGUAUGUGUUAACAGCAAUCAUUAAAUAAAAGUAUUAGAAUUGAAUGAAAGCAUUAAAAUUGAAAAUUCACAAAAAUUUGAAAAUCAUUUAACAAAGAACGAGUAAGUCCUGCAUUAAUUGCAUACAUAAUUCAGGGGUGAAAUUGUACUUCAUUCAAAAGAAAACAUGUGUCAUAAGAGACAGAACGAUAGAGAAUAAUUUCAUCAAAUAAUAGGAUUCCAUGAUUUGAAUAGUUCAGAAACAAAGAAAAAGAUAAGGCAUUUCUUGUUCCAAACGAAAUUAAGGUAGUAUCGAUAACAAAAUA